rnacentral:rRNA from 1 species
UACGUAGGUGGCAAGCGUUGUCCGGAUUUACUGGGCGUAAAGAGCGCGCAGGCGGUCGUUCAAGUCGCGUGUGAAAGCCCCCGGCUCAACUGGGGAGGGUCACGCGAUACUGAUCGACUCGAAGGCAGGAGAGGGUAGUGGAAUUCCCGGUGUAGUGGUGAAAUGCGUAGAUAUCGGGAGGAACACCGGUGGCGAAGGCGGCGACCUGGUUCGAUACUGACACUGAGGUGCGAAAGCGUGGGGAGCAAACAGG